rnacentral:misc_RNA from 1 species
AAGUCGUAACAAGGUUUCCGUAGGUGAACCUGCGGAAGGAUCAUUACUGAGUGAGGGCCCUCUGGGUCCAACCUCCCACCCGUGUUUAUCGUACCAUGUUGCUUCGGCAGGCCCGCCUCACGGCCGCCGGGGGGCUUCUCGCCCCCGGGCCCGCGCCUGCCGAAGACCCCUCUGAACGCUGUCUGAAGAUUGCAGUCUGAGCGAAAAGCAAAAAUUAUUUAAAACUUUCAACAACGGAUCUCUUGGUUCCG